rnacentral:rRNA from 1 species
AACGAACGCUGGCGGUGCGUUUUAAGCAUGCAAGUCGAACGGCAAGAAGGUGCUUGCACUUUCCUAGAGUGGCGGACUGGUGAGUAACGCGUGGGUGAUCUACCUUUAAGAUGGGGAUAGCUUUUAGAAAUAAGAGAUAAUACCGAAUGUGCUUAUUGAAUUAUGAUUUGAUAAGGAAAGGGGCGAAUGCCUCGCUUAAAGAUGAGCCUGCGUCCCAUUAGCUAGUUGGCAAGGUAAAGGCUUACCAAGGCGAUGAUGGGUAUCCGACCUGAGAGGGUGAACGGACACAUUGGGACUGAGAUACGGCCCAAACUCCUACGGGAGGCAGCAGCUGAGAAUCUUCCGCAAUGGACGAAAGUCUGACGGAGCGACACCGCGUGAAUGAUGAAGGCCGAAAGGUUGUAAAGUUCUUUUGCAGACAAAGAAUAAGGAUAGAAGGAAAUGUCUAUUUGAUGACGGUAGUUAUGCGAAUAAGCCCCGGCUAAUUACGUGCCAGCAGCCGCGGUAAUACGUAAGGGGCGAGCGUUGUUCGGAAUUAUUGGGCGUAAAGGGCAUGUAGGCGGUUGGGUAAGCCUGAUGUGAAAUCUACGAGCUUAACUCGUAAACUGCAUUGGGUACUGCUCAUCUUGAAUCAUAGAGGGGGAACUGGAAUUCCAAGUGUAGGGGUGGAAUCUGUAGAUAUUUGGAAGAACACCGGUGGCGAAGGCGGGUUCCUAGCUAAUGAUUGACGCUGAUGUGCGAAGGUGCGGGGAGCAAACAGGAUUAGAUACCCUGGUAGUCCGCACAGUAAACGAUGUACACUAGGUGUUGGGGUAAAACUCAGUGCCGGCGCAAACGCAAUAAGUGUACCGCCUGGGGAGUAUGCCCGCAAGGGUGAAACUCAAAGGAAUAGACGGGGGCCCACACAAGCGGUGGAGCAUGUGGUUUAAUUCGAUGAUACGCGAGGAACCUUACCUGGG